AACAGCUGCUAUUUCAACUAUUUUGACGGAAUAUCAAUGUUUUUGACAAUCAAACAUUUGACAUUGAUUGGUGGCAAGACGGUACGAUUUCUUGAUGACGUCCACAAAUAAAAACAGAAAACCACUUUAUUACCAAGGCAUUGUAUUAGCACUGUUCCAUGGAGUCUGAUAGUCACUGGAAAAUUAGAAGGAAAACGUCCUAGAGGCCAGAGCCCCAAACGUUGGUCCGACCAGAUCUCCGAGCAAACCAGCGGACCACUUAGCGCUGCACUACACCAGGCAACUGACCGGAACCGAUGGAGGCUGGCAGUCGACAAGCUGAAACGGAGUCACGAUCCUCAGCAAUGAGGGAGCGAUGGAGAAGAAGAAGAAGAAGAAAAGGUCAUAUAGGAAAAUGUUUAAUUAAAACAAUUCAUAAAUUAUUUUCAAUUAAGUUUAUAAAUUUAUUGGUUGAAUAUAAUACACAGCAGUUAAUCAUAUAGAACAUAAAUACCUUUGGUAUUACGUCGUACUGGUGGUAAUAAUUGCACAUAAUUUUCGCUUUAGCUACAUUUUAUACAGAAAAUACAUUAUUAAAAAUUCUACUUAUUUCA